rnacentral:tRNA from 1 species
AAGACUUUAAGUUAAGUCAGUAAACUAAUAUCCUUCAAAGUUAUAAAUAAAGAAAUUUCUUUAAGUCUUA